UACCCACAAAAGGUAGUGGCAGCGAGCCUUGAACCCAUUACCUAUGUGUUAGAGCCAGAGGAGGCGAGCCAAUCACUUUGGCAUGGCGCCAAUCAAACUUAAUUAUGUAUUGUUGUUGACUUUCUAUUUCCAGUAAUUUUUAAAUUGGAACGAUGCCACGUUAAUGUAAAUAACAUUCCAAUUUUAGGUUGCUUAGCUGCUAGUCUCUCUAACCACAUACUAGUAUACAAUGUAUCCAAGCAUAUUGCUUAUUUAACCUGACAAGGAGACGUUAAAUCACUUUGAUGUAAAGUGGACCUUGGUCUUAAUCCGUCUGUCUUUUAAACCUUACUCAAACAUUAACUUUCUUUUCUCCAGAUACUAUUUAAACAGGUGUACCUGGUUUUUAGAUCAGUUGUCCUUUAUGUUCCUCUGGCCAGUUUAAUUCGAAAUUGAAGAUUGUAAAGUGUUUUCGACCCUAAUUUAAUUUUAGGGCGGUCUUAAUUCAUUGAAAAUGGUUUCAAAAUUUAACUUUUCCGUACUGGUGGCCGGUAUUUUAAUACUAAAUGGAUGUUUUGCAAGCAAUUGGAAAUACACUGGAAAUUCAGGUCCACAGUUUUGGGAGGAAAAUUCUCCGAAAUGCGGGGAAAAUAAACAAUCCCCAAUUAAUAUAGAAACUAAAUCUGUUUUACCCGACAAACAACUGUCCCAGCUCCAGUUUACUGGAUAUAAUCAAAACUUAACGGGAGGAAUGCUCAUAAAUAAUGGCCAUUCAGCUCAGUUAAAUUUUCCUGCUGGAAAAAGUUUCCAACUUUUGAGCUCCGUUAACAGCGAGAUUUAUCUCGCUCUCCAACUUCAUUUCCACUGGACAUCGAAGAAUGUUUCGACACUAGGAGGCUCUGAGCACUCAGUUGAUGGAGAAUUUUACGACGCCGAGAUGCAUAUUGUCCACAUAAAGCAACCGUAUGGUUCUUUAGAUGAAAUUAAAUCCCAACCCGACGGUCUUGCAGUAAUAGGUGUCCUUAUAAGAGCAACAGACCAACAAAACAACGAUAUUCAGAAACUUCUGGAUGUAGCUCAACUUUGUGAAUACGCAGGCGACACACACAUAUUAGAAGAUGGACCAGAAUUAAUCAAUCUACUUCCAUCAUCUGUGAGUUAUUAUCGCUAUCAUGGCUCACUUACUACCCCACCAUGUUAUGAAACUGUACAGUGGACGGUAUACAAAGAACCCAUAUAUAUUUCCCAUCAACAGUUACGGAUUCUGCAACAGUUAAGCGCAUCGAAAAAUCCAGAUUCAAUAAAUUCUGAAAAUCAUGAUGGAGAAAAUUCACAUGAUACGAGUGCGUCAUCACAUGAUACAGUUGAUUCACGUGAAUCAAAUGAUGUAAAACUUAGUGAUAACUUCAGACCCAUACAACAAUUAAACGGGAGAAUUGUUUCUGCAUACUAUGAUAUUGAUGUUGCAAAAAGCAAUUCUACACAUGGUUGGAGAUACAAAAAUGAAGGUCCUAGAAGUUGGCUUGCAGAGUAUUCCACGUGUAAUGGCAACAAACAAUCACCAAUUAAUCUCAUUUCAACCAUCAGUGAAUCAGAUGAAGUUCAUGGUUUAGAAUUCUCUUCUUCCUACAAUAAACCUGCUUCUGGAUUUCUUGAAAAUAAUGGACAUACCGUAAUGUUUGAGAUUGACGAGCACCUUGAGUUAACUUUCAACGAGAACGAUCGCUUGUUUCAAGUUGAACAACUCCACUUCCACUGGGGGGCAGCAACGAGUGACGGGGAUACGAAAUUAAAAGUCACCGGGGGUUCAGAACAUACGGUGGACCAGAAACAUUUUCCAAUUGAGAUGCACAUCGUGCACACGAACAUCUCCCCGGAUGACCCGGACACAGAUGAAGAAGAUCGGAUGUUAGAAGAUCAGUUCGGAGUACUCGGUGUCUUCUUUGAGAUCGCAGAAGAUGGAAUUACGGAAACGGCGGACACAACUUUGGGAAUGAUCACUGACAUGCUGCAUAAAGUUAAAUAUAAAGAUAACAGUGUUCGUAUGGAUACCGGGCCAAUAUUAUUGGAUUUAUUGCCACAAAAUAAAACAUAUUAUCGAUACAUGGGAUCUCUUACUACCCCACCAUGCACAGAAGCUGUUCAAUGGACUGUGUUUUAUCAUUCAAUUCCUGUGUCUAAAGAACGAUUGCUUGAAUUUCAAAACUUAUUUAAAGUUGAGGAAAAUGAAAUAACUCCUUUAAGCAACACAAAGCAAUUAUCACAAACCAGUAAGACACCCAAGAUCUUUACAUCAGCGGAAACUAUCGACCCGUGCAAACAUACGAUGGGAGGAUCGUUCUACUUCAUGUGGAUCAUACUGUUGUUGUUGAAACAGGACCAGACAUUUUACAACUUGUGUUAUGGACCAUUGCUGGCAUAGCGGUUUUUGCAGCUUUGCUUUCAAUUAUUGUUUGUUGCAAGAAUAAACAGAAAAAACCUAAAGACCAAUAUUCUGCCAAGUAUCAAAUAGGAAAGCAAGAUGAAGAUGUUAUAUCAGUGUGAAAAAAUGUUCCAAUGUUUUUUAUCCAAAAGUUCCAAAUUGCCAAGUGCCUUAAUUGUUUUUUAAUUUAAAUUUUUACUGUUUGUGAAUACUAAACUUCCCAACUGUGUUUUAAACAUACUUUGUUACUGUAAUUCUGUUUUGAAUUUUUACUGCACAUACAAAAUAAUAUAAAAAAAUGAGCUGUUUUUUGGUUUAAUUAAAAAUUCACUAAUUUAGUUUAGAUAAUAACUGUAAAUAAAUUUAGCAGGGUAAUAUUAAUUAGUUUAUCUUAUAUAUAUACCCUACUACAGUGACUCGUUUUGCCAAAGUUUCCAAAUGUACAGAUGUUUUUAGUUGUUUAUUUUAUUUUCUAUUGUGGGCCAAAUCUAAAUUGAAAUGUCUAUGCAUUUUUACCACCUUUGAUGCCUAUGUGUUAAUUAUUGUUAAAUAGUUUUAAUUAUUGGUGCAAGGUGCUUUUAUGUGUAAUUAAAACAUAGUAUUGUAG